AACGCAGUGCCCUUGUUUGGGUGUAGGGCCUGAUCAGAGCCUGGAGGUAGUGAGGUGCCGUUCCCCUCAAAACUCCGUAGGCAAGCACCAUGGUCUUGUAGCGGAUGCGAGCUUCAAAUGGAAGCCAGUGGAGAGAGCGGAGGAGCGGGGUGACGUGAGAGAACUUGGGAAGGUUGAACACCAGACGGGCUGCGGCGUUCUGGAUGAGUUGUAGGGGUUUAAUGGCACAGGCAGGGAGCCCAGCCAACAGCGAGUUGCAGUAAUCCAGACGGGAGAUGACAAGUGCCUGGAUUAGGACCUGCGCCGCUUCCUGUGUGAGGCAGGGUCGUACUCUGCGGAUGUUGUAGAGCAUGAACCUACAGGAACGGGGAUGCAGAACAGCUGAACAAGGCCACAAUUUGCCGCACAAUAAGGAGUGUGUGUCUGGCUAUCAAAGCAUUAGCAGAUGUCUUCAUCUCCUUCCCUGGCCACAGAAGACUCUGUGACAUCAAAGAGGAGUUCUAUAGGAUUGCAGAUGGUCUGCAAUGCUGACUGUGUGAUCAGCAAUGUUGUGGCAAAAUGGCCUGGCUCAGUCCAUGACUCCAGAAUCUUUCGGGCCUCUGAAAUCUAUCAGUGCCAAGGUGAAUUCUCUGGUGUGUUGCUGGGAGACAGGGGUAUGGCUGCCAGCCUUUUCUCCUGACACCUUUCACAGACCCCAGGAAGCACAGCAGGCCUACAACCAUGCCCAUGCCAGGACCAGGGCCAGAGUUGAAAUGACCUUUGGCCUCCUGAAGGCACGCUUUCACUGCCUUCACAAAUUAAGGGUCAGCCCUGUUAGGGCAUGUGAUAUUACUGUGGCUUGUGCUGUCCUCCACAAUGUGGCCUGCCUGAGGAAGGAGAGGGCCCCCAGAGUGCCACCAGCCAUGGACUGGGACAAUCCGGCAAUCUUCCCUGAUGACGACAGUGGUCGGCUGCUGAGGGACCAAUAUGUGUUGAAUUAUUUUAGUUAGUAUGUGUGCUUUCAAUUUUGGUUAAAUAUGUCCUGCGGUGGCAGAGGAAUUUGGGUUUUUUUGGGUUCGUUUUUUGACGAAUUUGGCCUCUUAUGAUGUUUGUGCGGUAUACUGUGUGUAAUACAAGGCUGCAGGGAGGCUACUGCAUCCAUUCAUUUGUCUGUUCAGUUGAUGUGUAUGGAUUUGUCCUGCAUUUAUUUUAGUGUGCAGACAUGCAGGGUGUGUUAUAUACAGACCUUUGAAUGUGUAUGUAUAAUAUGCUUGGAUUCUGUGCUUUCCAUCUUGUAGAGUCACUGUGACUUCAGUUUUGAAAGGAGCUGAUGGUUUACCUGCUUUGUUUUGUCCUUAUUCAAUAAAGGAACAUAAUGUUACACAUUGUGUUUUUAUAUUCA